UGGCGAACGGGUGAGUAACGCGUGAGGAACCUGCCUCAAAGAGGGGACAACAGUUGGAAACGACUGCUAAUACCGCAUAAGCCCACGACCCGGCAUCGGGUAGAGGGAAAAGGAGCAAUCCGCUUUGAGAUGGCCCCGCGUCCGAUUAGCUAGUUGGUGAGGUAACGGCCCACCAAGGCGACGAUCGGUAGCCGGACUGAGAGGUUGAACGGCCACAUUGGGACUGAGACACGGCCCAG
rnacentral:rRNA from 1 species